rnacentral:rRNA from 1 species
GACGAACGCUGGCGGCGUGCUUAACACAUGCAAGUCGAGCGGUAAGGCCCUUUCGGGGGUACACGAGCGGCGAACGGGUGAGUAACACGUGGGUGACCUGCCCUCAGCUCUGGGAGUAAGCCUGGGAAACCGGGUCUAAUACUGGAUAUGACUCCAUGACGCAUGUUGGUGGGGUGGAAAGCCUUGUGCGGCUGAGGAUGGGCCCGCGGCCUAUCAGCUUGUUGGUGGGGUGANGGCCUACCAAGGCGACGACGGGUAGCCGGCCUGAGAGGGCGACCGGCCACACUGGGACUGAGACACGGCCCAGACUCCUACGGGAGGCAGCAGUGGGGAAUCUUGCGCAAUGGGCGAAAAGCCUGACGCAGCGACGCCGCGUGAGGGAUGACGGCCUCGG